rnacentral:rRNA from 1 species
AGUGAACGCUGGCGGUAGGCCUAACACAUGCAAGUCGAACGGCAGCACAGAGGAGCUUGCUCCUUGGGUGGCGAGUGGCGGACGGGUGAGGAAUACAUCGGAAUCUACUCUGUCGUGGGGGAUAACGUAGGGACACUUACGCUAAUACCGCAUACGACCUACGGGUGAAAGCAGGGGAUCUUCGGACCUUGCGCGAUUGAAUGAGCCGAUGUCGGAUUAGCUAGUUGGCGGGGUAAAGGCCCACCAAGGCGACGAUCCGUAGCUGGUCUGAGAGGAUGAUCAGCCACACUGGAACUGAGACACGGUCCAGACUCCUACGGGAGGCAGCAGUGGGGAAUAUUGGACAAUGGGCGCAAGCCUGAUCCAGCCAUACCGCGUGGGUGAAGAAGGCCUUCGGGUUGUAAAGCCCUCUUGUUGGGAAAGAAAUCCAUCUGGUUAAUACCCGGGUGGGAUGACGGAACCCAAAGAAUAAGCACCGGCUAACUUCGUGCCAGCCGCCGCCGUAA